rnacentral:rRNA from 1 species
CGCCGCGUGGGGAUGACGGGUUUCGGCGUUGUAAACCCCUGUUGCCCGGGACGAAACGCCUUUUCGAGAGGCUUGACGGUACCGGGUGAGGAAGCACCGGCUAACUCCGUGC